GAACCUGUUCUUUUCUAAGAGUGAUGGAAGGGGAGUGGACCAGAUAGAAGAAGAGGUGGGGAGGAACUGAGUGGAGUACAGGAAGGAUCCUCUCAGGAUCAGAUACUGGAUGGAGAAGUAGAGCCAGACUGAUUCACGUUGGAGAUCAGACUGGACAUCUAAACACCACGCGCAUACUCCUGUCAUCCGAUUCACCCAGACAGCAUGCAGUUUUCCUAAAUCCACUUGGUCUUUCUGAAGAAAAACAACCAGCCUCAAGGGCAAGAGGAGCAGGGAGAACGGAACACCCAGCAUCUGGUAGUGCUUGCUGAUACUCACGAAGCAAGGUGGUGGUCCUGAAGGACUCUUACAUCUGGCUGAGGAUGCUAAGAGAAAUGGCCGGGUCCAUCCACCAGGAUGGAGCUUGCAGGCACAUCCAGGGCUUACAGCAUUCUACUGAAUGAGGCAGGGAAGCAAUAUGAGGGAAUGUCUGAAGAUACCUCCGCCUUCGCGAGUGUGCGGCCGCUGAAGGAGUGCAGCCCUAGCAGGAGGUUGCCUGAGUUUAGACACUGGUGUGGCCAUUUCCAGGCUGGGUGACUUUGACCCAAAGGAAACAAAAUCCACAGUUAACUUUUCUCUGUGUGAUUUUCCUCAUCUUCAAGUCCUGUUGGGAGGACCAUGCAGGAUACUCCCUGAAAAGCAUGUUUCUGAUAAACAGGAAGACAAAACAGGAAGCAGUGGCUUCUGAAUGCUGUGUGUUACAAGGAGUGACUUUCCAUAAGCAGUGUUAAAACUGAUCAGUUGAGAAAUCAGAGUGUUUGAUGGGGCAGUUCUUGAAUUAAGUAUGUGGAAUAU